rnacentral:tRNA from 2 species
CCGCUUUUAGCUCAGUGGUCGAGUGUUGGCUUUGGAAGCCACAGGUCGGUGGUUCGAACCCACCAGGGCACA